rnacentral:rRNA from 1 species
AUACUUUAAUUCUAGUACCUUUUGUAUAAGGGUUUUUUAAGAAAUUUUAUUUUUUUAAUUAUCCCGAAAGAAAAAAAUUUAUUUUAUUAAUUAUGUAACGUUGUAAAGUUACAAUAUAUCUUAAAAUAAAAGCUAGAUACUAAUUGCUUUUUCUGAUAUCUGGUUGGGUUUGAAAUAUAUUUAGUAUAGCUGUUUUUAGAAAUGGUUAAUAUAAUUGGGUUAAGCUGAUUAUAUUUUUAUUGAUUAAUGUAAGUAUAUGUCUGGUAAAGUAAGCUUCAAAUUAGCUAUCGUGGAUAUUGUUAUAAAUUUCACCAGAUUAUACUUUAAUUUAUAUAAUUUGUCAUUUUUUAAAAAAAUUCUUAUGCUCUUAAUAGUAAUAAUAAUGAUAAAAAUGAGUAGAUUAAGAUAUAAUUUGGUAUAAGUAUUAAUAUCAGUUUUAAGUUGUUUAUAAAUGUAAUCUGUGUAAUAAACUCGGCAAAAAUAUUAUUCGACUGUUUAACAAAAACAUUUCUUUAUGCAUAUACAUAUAAAGUAAGCCCUGCCCGGUGAUACUUUUAACGGCGGCCUUAGCGUGAGGGUCCAAAGGUAGCAUAGUAAUUUGGCCUUUAAUUGGGGUCUUGUAUGAAUGGGUUAACGUAAUAAUUACUGUGUCACACGGAUACAUAUAAAUUAAGUUUAAGGUGAAGAUGCCUUAAUUAUAAAGAAAGACGACAAGACCCUAUGAAGCUUUAUUUAUUUAAUAAUUUUAAAAUUGUUUGAUAAAUUUGUUGGGGCAACAAAGUGAUACUACAUUACUUUUUAAAAUUUUACUUUCAUGUCUUAUCUUAAUUUGUGAUGUUGAUUAGCUACUCUAGGGAUAACAGCGCAAUUUAUUUUUUAAGUUCUUAUUUUUAAAUAAGGUUGCGACCUCGAUGUUGGCUUUGGAAUAACUAUUAGGUGCAGCAGUUUAGUUAGUAAGUCUGUUCGACUUUUGAAUUCCAACAUGAGCUGAGUUCAGACCGGUGUAAGCUAGGUCAGUUUCUAUCUUCUUUUAUUUACUGACAAUUUUGGUACGAAAGGACUUUUUGUCAAAAUUAUUUUUUGAAUAUUGGUAGGUUG